rnacentral:rRNA from 1 species
UACAGAGGGUGCAAGCGUUGUUCGGAAUUAUUGGGCGUAAAGGGAGUGUAGGCGGUUGGGUAAGUCUUCUGUGAAAUCUACGGGCUUAGCCUGUAAAGUGCAGAGGAAACUGUCCAACUUGAGUGUCGGAGAGGAUAGGGGAAUACCCAGUGUAGAGGUGAAAUUCGUAGAGAUUGGGUGGAACACCAGUGGCGAAGGCGCCUAUCUGGCUGACAACUGACGCUGAGACUCGAAAGCAUGGGGAGCAAACAGG